UACGUAGGGUGCAAGCGUUAAUCGGAAUUACUGGGCGUAAAGGAUGCGUAGAUGGUCUAGUAAGUUAUCGGUGGUAAAUCGGGGCCCAACCCCGUGGAAGUUGGUAAUACUGUUAGACUUGAGUAUCGGAGAGGUUAACGGAACUCCCUGUGGAGCGGUGAAAUGCGUAGAUAUAGGGAAGAACAUCAAACGGCGAAGGCAGUUGACUAUUCGGCUACUGACAUUGAGGCAUGAAAGCGUGGGGAGCAAAACGG
rnacentral:rRNA from 1 species